AACGCGUAGGCAACCUACCCUUUAGACGGGGACAACAUUCCGAAGGGAGUGCUAAUACCGGAUGUGAUCAUCUUGCCGCAUGGCAGGAUGAAGAAAGAUGGCCUCUACAAGUAAGCUAUCGCUAAAGGAUGGGCCUGCGUCUGAUUAGCUAGUUGGUAGUGUAACGGACUACCAAGGCGAUGAUCAGUAGCCGGUCUGAGAGGAUGAACGGCCACAUUGGGACUGAGACACGGCCCAAACUCCUACGGGAGGCAGCAGUGGGGAAUCUUCCGCAAUGGACGAAAGUCUGACGGAGCAACGCCGCGUGAGUGAUGAAGGAUUUCGGUCUGUAAAGCUCUGUUGUUUAUGACGAACGUGCAGUGUGUGAACAAUGCAUUGCAAUGACGGUAGUAAACGAGGAAGCCACGGCUAACUACGUGCCAGCAGCCGCGGUAAUACGUAGGUGGCGAGCGUUGUCCGGAAUUAUUGGGCGUAAAGAGCAUGUAGGCGGCUUAAUAAGUCGAGCGUGAAAAUGCGGGGCUCAACCCCGUAUGGCGCUGGAAACUGUUAGGCUUGAGUGCAGGAGAGGAAAGGGGAAUUCCCAGUGUAGCGGUGAAAUGCGUAGAUAUUGGGAGGAACACCAGUGGCGAAGGCGCCUUUCUGGACUGUGU
rnacentral:rRNA from 1 species